GUCAAUGCUCGCAAGAGUGAACUAGCUAACUGAAAUCACAUGACUCAUUAAUUGAUGGUGAUUGUGAUAACAUAAGGGAAAAAAAUGAUGUUACCUUAUUAUUAGUGUUGUCCAAAACUGGUGCCAGAAGACUCGGUAAGACCAGAGACGCAAACGUUAGUCAUCUUAAUCAGGCGUAAAGGGUGUGUAGGCUGCUUUUAAAGUUUAAAUCUUUGUAAUAGCUCUGUUACCGUACUAUAACAUAAAAUUGAAUUAAAAAUGACAAAAUUAUAAAUUAAAAAAAUAAAACAGUCAUAUCAAUAAAAUGUAAUAUAUAAAAUUUAUCCACAAAAUAAAUGAUAUAAAUAAAUAAAAUAAAAUAAAUAAAUAAAAUAAAACAAAAACAAAUAUCCGUGUAUCAGUAAAGAAAUAAAUGAAUAAAAGCUAGGAUCAAAUUGAGGAUAAACCAAAUAAUACUUAGAGUAGGGCUUAUAUCCGUAGAUACUAAGGGGAAUACUAAAGGUGAAAGCUUUUUAUCUACUAUUGAUUGACGCUGAGAAACGAAGGUGAGAAUAGGAAAUAGGAUUAGAUACCCAGAUACCUCUCACUGUCAACGAUGAAUGGUGGUUUGUUAGUUUUAAUAAAAACUGGUAACGAUGUUAACACGAUAACCAUUCCGCCUUGCGAGUACGGUUGCAAAA
rnacentral:rRNA from 1 species